rnacentral:lncRNA from 1 species
CUAUUUUGAUUUGCCAUAUUAGGGCUAAAUGUCAUGUGCUUCAUCUCCUAAAUUCCCUUUCAAGGUACUCAUGAAAGCCAAGCAAAACGGUAGACAGGCAUCUGUCCCAAAACCUCUGCAGAAAAAGGUUGAAACUAUGGCUCUGUUUUCACAGAUGACUGAGAAAUCGUUAUUAAGUCUUGUCCCAACAGUUAGCUACUGAUUUAAAAGCAAAUUGGUUUUGUCAGCAGAAACAGAUAGGUUUCAUUUCACUUGGUACAACCAUAAAUUGUGAUGACAAAGACUGAUUAAAAAGAACCCAGUUGUCUAGACUCAUUCUAGUAUAGACAUGCUUCGUAAAGAAUGAAAUAUAAAAAAAUGAAACAAUGAAACUGAGUAUUAAAAAGUCAAUAUUUCAAUUGACUUUUUAAACUGUGAGGAAUACAAAAAAUAAUUUAGAAGUAAAUGCAUUACUUAUUCAAAAGAAGUCCACUUAAAACUAUACAGAUGUUUGAUUUUUAACUACCCUGAAUUACAAAUAAAAUUUCAUAUUGCGAUACCUAGGUGACAGUUGAGGGAAAAAAAGAAAUCCAUUUUUCUUCUGCAGCUAUGAGCAUUUGCAAUGCUAUUUAUGCUUGAUCUAUUUCACAUGAGUAGUCAGUAUUUUUCACUACUGCUUUCUCGAGUCUUUCACAAUGCAGCAAGUAAAGAAAUGAUUGAAUUCUCUCCAACACACCCCACAAGAGUAAAACUUGUAAGAACUGGCAGCAGUUAAGACACAGUGUUUAGUACUUUGAAACAAUCUUAAUUUCAAAACAAACAAACAAACUUUAAGAAGGCCAGACAAUUUCCUCCUGUAACAACUGAAGUGUAGAUAAUCACUAUUAAAAUACAUAGAUCACUACCUGAAAUUUUUUAAAAUUCAUAUUAUGUCUGGAAGAUUGCAGUAUACCCACUACAAAAAGUUUUCCCCCUCUGAUCUCUCACAACCUGGGGUUUUCAUAGAUUGUGGGUUUGUUCAAUAAUUGAUUUUUCCCAAGUCGUGUGUCUUUGAGGCAUUUCGUACAGGGGAGAGAAAAAUAAACAAACGCAACUCCAGUCUGACACUCUCCUUCUCCAGAAUCCUAUGAGUACGGUAAAGUCUGGAAAGUCAACUCUUACUGUUUUUCAUAUUGGCUUGUAUUUCUCUAUUAAACCCUUU